rnacentral:rRNA from 1 species
GAUGAACGCUAGCGGCAGGCUUAAUACAUGCAAGUCGUGGGGCAGCAUGAGUAGCAAUACUUGAUGGCGACCGGCAAACGGGUGAGGAACACGUACACAACCUUCCUUCAAGCGGGGAAUAGCCCAGAGAAAUUUGGAUUAAUACCCCAUAAUAUAUUUGAUAAGGCAUCUUAUUAAUAUUAAAGCUUCGGCACUUGAUGAUGGGUGUGCGGCUGAUUAGAUAGUUGGCGGGUAACGGCCACCAAGUCUACGAUCAGUAGCUGAUGUGAGAGCAUGAUCAGCCACACGGGCACUGAGACACGGGCCCGACUCCUACGGGAGGCAGCAGUAAGGAAUAUUGGACAAAUGGACGAAAGUACUGAUCCAGCCAUGCCGCGUGAAGGAUUAAGGUCCUCUGGAUUGUAAACUUCUUUUAUAUGGGACGAAAAAAGGGCAAGUUCUUGUUCACUCGACGGUACCAUAUGAAUAAGC